UACGUAGGGCGCGAGCGUUGUCCGGAAUUAUUGGGCGUAAAGAGCUCGUAGGCGGCCUGUUGCGUCUGCUGUGAAAACCCGGGGCUCAACCCCGGGCCUGCAGUCGAUACGGGCAGACUAGAGUGCGGUAGGGGAGACUGGAAUUCCUGGUGUAGCGGUGAAAUGCGCAGAUAUCAGGAGGAACACCGGUGGCGAAGGCGGGUCUCUGGGCCGUAACUGACGCUGAGGAGCGAAAGCGUGGGGAGCGAACAGG
rnacentral:rRNA from 1 species